AAGGAGCCCUAGCGAGAAAGUUGGAAGGUGUUAGCUUCCCUUGGAGAAAGGCAGAGAAGACAGAAAAUGGAGGGGGUCAGGAAGUAGGGAGUUGGUGGGGGUGGCAAACAGAGAAUACAGCUCCUAAAAUGGCAUCUCUUUGCUUCAAGUCCGUUAAAAAAUAUCUGUGGAUACAUGCGUGUAAAAUGUUGCAGAAAAGGCCAUGAUCACCAAGACUUGGCAACUACUUCAGAGAAUAUGCUGUAUGAGCUGGGGGACCAAGAAAUAAACAUGAACUGAACUACAGGACUGCAGCCCUUCCAAGUGAGCAGCUGGUCUCUGGAUCUCCGCACUAAGACACAGGCGUAGCUGCUGGAUUGUCACACAUCUUGUGAAUGAAGCACGUAUCACAACAAAAAUGGGAAAUCUGCAAUGAGAAAGAAAAAACAAUUUCUGAGUGUGCCGUCACCCUAAAUUCUGACCCUGCACCUAUUUGUUUUCUUGUGCUCAUCUUGGUUCCUCCACAGAGCUCAUAAUCAAUGCUGAGUCAUUCCUGGAGCACUGGGGGUCCCCAGGAUUCAUCUUUGGCUUUUGUUUCCACGAAAAGAAUAGAAGAGCUUUUUGGUGGCAUUUUGGAAGGCUCAGAUUUCUUUAAAACAUCUGUCUAGGGAAAUUUGAACUAAUUUCUCUUUUAUUUCCUUUUCGUAAAAAUUUCCAUUAGUAAGCAAAUGCAUUCAAAACCAUUCCCUUGAUCUUAUAACUGUAUUUUAUAAAAAUACCCUCAAGUUUUUCCUUUUGUCCUAUAGGCUGAAAGUGCUGCAGUGGAGUGUCUGAAUGGCACACAGGAGCGAAGGCAGCUGGGACAUUAAGGCUGAUCAAGUUUGGCGAGGGGCCGCUAGGCUGCCCUUCGAGUGGUGCAGUAGACACACGGGGUGGGGGUUUGGCUUCAUCCUUUUUGUUUCUGACCCUGUUUUCAAGGACAUAUUAUAAAAAGUGAAGACUUCUUGAAUUUAUUAAAAACUAUAAUGGAAAUUAAAGAA